rnacentral:rRNA from 1 species
UACGAAGGGGACUAGCGUUGUUCGGAUUUACUGGGCGUAAAGCGCGCGUAGGCGGAUCGCUAAGUCAGGGGUGAAAUCCCAGGGCUCAACCCUGGAACUGCCUUUGAAACUGUCUGGCUUGAGGCCGGGAGAGGGUAGCGGAAUUCCCAGUGUAGCGGUGAAAUGCGUAGAUACUGGGAGGAACACCGGUGGCGAAGGCGGCUACCUGGACCGGAACUGACGCUGAGGCGCGAAAGCGUGGGUAGCCAACAGG